AACGAACGCUGGCGGCAUGCCUAACACAUGCAAGUCGAACGAGACCUUCGGGUCUAGUGGCGCACGGGUGCGUAACGCGUGGGAACCUGCCUUUAGGUUCGGAAUAACGCCUCGAAAGGGGUGCUAGUACCGGAUAAUGUCUUCGGACCAAAGAUUUACCGCCUUUAGAUGGGCCCGCGUUGGAUUAGCUAGUUGGUGGG
rnacentral:rRNA from 1 species